CCUACGGGCGGCAGCAGUGGGGAAUAUUGCACAAUGGGCGCAAGCCUGAUGCAGCCAUGCCGCGUGUGUGAAGAAGGCCUUCGGGUUGUAAAGCACUUUCAGCGGGGAGGAAGGCGGUGAGGUUAAUAACCUCAUCGAUUGACGUUACCCGCAGAAGAAGCACCGGCUAACUCCGUGCCAGCAGCCGCGGUAAUACGGAGGGUGCAAGCGUUAAUCGGAAUUACUGGGCGUAAAGCGCACGCAGGCGGUCUGUCAAGUCGGAUGUGAAAUCCCCGGGCUCAACCUGGGAACUGCAUUCGAAACUGGCAGGCUAGAGUCUUGUAGAGGGGGGUAGAAUUCCAGGUGUAGCGGUGAAAUGCGUAGAGAUCUGGAGGAAUACCGGUGGCGAAGGCGGCCCCCUGGACAAAGACUGACGCUCAGGUGCGAAAGCGCGGGGAGCAGACAGGAUUAGAUACCCUUGUAGUC
rnacentral:rRNA from 1 species